GACGAACGCUGGCGGCGUGCUUAACACAUGCAAGUCGAGCGAUGAAGCACCUUCGGGUGUGGAUUAGCGGCGAACGGGUGAGGAACACGUGAGGAAUCUGCCUUUCACUUCGGGAUAACUCCGGGAAACCGGGGCUAAUACCGGAUAUUUUCAACUGGCGGCAUCGCCGGUUGAAGAAAGUUUUUCGGUGAAAGAUGACCUCGCGGCCUAUCAGCUUGUUGGUGAGGUAAUGGCUCACCAAGGCGACGACGGGUAGCCGGCCUGAGAGGGCGACCGGCCACACUGGGACUGAGACACGGCCCAUACUCCUACGGGAGGCAGCAGUCGAGAAUAUUGCGCAAUGGGGGAAACCCUGACGCAGCGACGCCGCGUGCAUGAUGAAGCCCUUCGGGGCGUAAAGUGCUUUUCUCUAUGAAGAACCUUUUAGGUGACAGUAAUAGAGGAAUAAGGGGAUGCUAAUCACGUGCCAGCCGCCGCCGUAA
rnacentral:rRNA from 1 species